GCCGAAGUGGCGGAACUGGCAGACGCGCUAGCUUCAGGAGCUAGUUCUCGUAAGGGAGUGGAGGUUCGAGUCCUCUCUUCGGCA
rnacentral:tRNA from 1 species